UACGUAGGGGGCAAGCGUUGUCCGGAUUCAUUGGGCGUAAAGAGCUCGUAGGCGGUUCGGCAAGUCGGGUGUGAAAACUCCAGGCUCAACCUGGAGACGCCACCCGAUACUGCUGUGACUUGAGUCCGGUAGGGGACCACGGAAUUCCUGGUGUAGCGGUGAAAUGCGCAGAUAUCAGGAGGAACACCGGUGGCGAAGGCGGUUCUCUGGGCAUGUCCUGACGUGAGGAGCGAAAGUGUGGGGAGCGAACAGG
rnacentral:rRNA from 1 species